rnacentral:lncRNA from 1 species
AACUACGGCACAUGAUGAUUUAACAUCCAUACCGUAAGAUUUGUACGCACUUAUUUCACAUAUGUGAAUAUGUGAAUACUUAUUUCACAUAUGUGAUUAAUUUUUCACCAAUGCCCAGCUCAGCCCUCCAGCAGUAGAAGAGAGCCAGAUGAACUUCAAAACUCCUGUAUGAUGGCAUAUGGCAUGGAUGUAUGGGAACUGGUGAAUCACGGCCUGAACCUCUGAUUGACCACCUGAGAUGAGCGCUGAGUCAGCUGCAGGGGCACAGGUGAACGCAAUUUCACCUGAGUGACCGGAAGGGAUGGAGCUUGGCUCCACCCCUCCUAGACCCCAUUUAAGGGCUGACUCCCAAGGAGGAAAUAUUUCUAUCUUGAGAUCUCCCCUCUUGGAGUUCUUCUGUGAGCCCAGGACAUGGCCCCCCUUUUGAUACUGGAAAGCUGUCAGGUCUCCCCGGAACCUUCCCAGAUCUCCCAGUCUCCUGGAUCACUAAGGAGGGGUUUCAGGCCAGCAAAAAGAACUUUGCUUCAGGAGAACCUGGGUUAGAGAUGGAGCUGAGUGAGGCUGGCUGUUUCCAUGAAGCCCAGACGUCUGCAUCACUCCUUGGAGCUGUGGGCCACAAGCUGCUUUGGGAACUUUGGCAGUGUUGUGUGGAUCCUGCUGUGUUCUUACUUUACUUGGAACAAUUAAACAGAUUUAAACUAAUUUUCUCUCCCACACUGUGCAGCCUAUCCAACUAAAUUACUGAGGAACUUUCUCCUAAUCUGCAUAAGAACCAUCAGAAAACCCUAGCACUUCAGAAAAGCAACAAGGAACUACCUUGAGAGACUGUUUUGCACAUCUAUCUUCCCUAGGACCUGUAUAAUUUUGUUUGCAAAUUGUCUGACAUUUUUCUAAAAGCUCAGGUUGUGGACAUCCCGCAGCCUCUCUGCCGUACUCUUCCAGUGUACGUCUAUGUCCACACAUACAAAAAAACCAAUUGUUCCUCCAAUCUGCUCUCUUCCAUAUUCCCCAUGAUGACUCCUCAUUUCAGUGCCUGAAUCUGGUGAUGGCCCUCCACUCAAAGUCUCAUGAAAACUUGAUAUUUUCCAAGUUACAGUUCUUAUGACUUGCAAGAUACACCCUUGCUUAGACUUGCUAGUAGGAUUUGUAGCAUUUUACAUAGCAACAUGAAACAAGAAGGUGCAAGUGAAUUUGCAGAAGUUAACACACAACAAGGUUUCAGAAAAAGCAAUAAUAAAACAUCUGAAUAAUCAAAAUCUUCCUUUAAAUGGGCAAUUUGUAAUAAAUUAAAAUUAUUAUAAAUUAAAAUAAUCUCAAAAUAUUACAUAGGAUAUUUUGAGGAUGUGGUUGCAAAGGGUUCACUUUUGUAAGCUAUCUCACCUUUCUGAUGAAUGACUUCUGUGCUCUCAUACAACAAAGCACUGUGUAUUCCUUGGGUUCAGACAAACACCGUGGCAGAACUGUGGUGCAGAGGACAAUGCAUUGAAUUUUACUGGACCAGAACAAGGCAGUUAAAUAAACUUUCAGCCUCUGCUUUA